GUUUUUAUGAGUUGAGAUUUUUUUUAAUGAUUUCUGUUGUUUAUAGGAGAACGGUUAGGAUGGUGAAUGUCAUUUGGUGUGGUAAUGUGGAGACUAAUGAUUUUGAUGUUGGUGAUGUUGCUUUUGGUGCUAGGGCAUGGUUUUGAUGUUUGCGAUGCUAUUUUUGGGUCAAGUCUAAAGGAGAUUAAGGAAUUCAAGAUCACCAAUAUCAUCUGGAAGACUUCCAUUAAAGGAACUUUCUUUUGGGUCAAGUAAUUUAGUGGUUAGACUCGCACACCUUGAGUCUGGAGAUGUCGAGAAUCUCAUAUUUGAACCUAAGUCCCUGCAUAUCAAUGCCCUUGCAGAAACUACCUACUGAUCUAUACUUACAGGUAAUGGAACAUAUUAAGAGAAAUACAAUUACCAACAACAUUGGUAGUUUGAAUAGGUCUAGUGGAAGAGUCCCGGGUGCAUACGUAUCUUAGGCUAGAUAGUUGUCUUCAAAUAGCAUUAUGCAAUUUGAGGAUAGCCAUUAUUAAAAUGUUUUUGAAUUGGUAUAAAUUAAAUGUUUAACCUUUUGUAUUUGUACACCAAAGUGUUUGUGUAAAAUUGUAGAUUGAGCUCCUGCUAUCUGCUAUUAUUAGUCUUAUUGUUUGAGUUUGAACUUGUAUUAGCAGUAUUGGCACAAUGACACUUUCACUUUUUUGGAAUUUGUGUAGGGUCUGAUUCAAUCUUACAAAAUCGGCUUGUAAGGUGAGGAUUAUCUCCACGUAUAAACACAUAAUCCAAUGUAGGACUCAUAACAUGCCCCAUCACGUCCAGAAGUAGGAUUGAACAUUUGGAGCAUGAUUCGAGUGGCAUGAUAGUAGUGACCUGAUGGCAGAUGACCUACCGGAUCUUGGAUAGGCUUUGAUACUUUUUUAGAAUUUGGAUUGGACCUAACUUAACCGUACGAAACCAACUUGUACGGUGAGGUGGAGACUACCUCCACAUAUGAUAAAGACCUCAAGAGCACGAAGAUGAUCCUAUUUUAAUAAAUUAGGAUAAAUUUUAUUUAUUUUAAUUUGGUUUAUAAUAAUUCUUAGUUUGCUUUAAUUUGGAAUUGUAAUAGUUUUAAUAUAAAUUUAGUUGAUGUCAUGUAAGUGAAGAUACUUUGGUUCUUGACAUUUAACUUAUUUUAUAAAAAUAUGAUGUAAGUCCAACAUAGGUCUUGAAAAUGGUGUUACUUGUGACUUUUUAGGUUUAUAGAGAGUCUUACUAUAAAUAUGCA
rnacentral:lncRNA from 1 species